rnacentral:rRNA from 1 species
AACGAACGCUGGCGGCAUGCCUAACACAUGCAAGUCGAACGAGAUCGUCGGGUCUAGUGGCGCACGGGUGCGUAACGCGUGGGAAUCUGCCCUUUGGUUCGGAAUAACAUUUGGAAACGACUGCUAAUACCGGAUGAUUACGAAAGACCAAAGAUUUAUCGCCAGAGGAUGAGCCCGGGUAGGAUUAGCGAGUUGGUGUGGUAAAGGCGCACCAAGGCGACGAUCCUUAGCUGGUCUGAGAGGAUGAGCAGCCACACUGGGACUGAGACACGGCCCAGACUCCUACGGGAGGCAGCAGUGGGGAAUAUUGGACAAUGGGGGAAACCCUGAUCCAGCCAUGCCGCGUGUGUGAAGAAGGCCUUAGGGUUGUAAAGCACUUUCGGCUGUGAAGAUAAUGACAGUAGCAGAAGAAGAAGCUCCGGCUAAAUUCGUGCCAGCCGCCGCAGUAA